rnacentral:ncRNA from 1 species
UGUUCUCAGGGCGGGGUGAAACUCCCCACCGGCGGUAAGGGGCUUCGGCCCCAAGCCCGCGAGCGCCUGCCUUUCCCCGGAAAGGCGGGGUCAGCAGAUCCGGUGAAAUUCCGGAGCCGACGGUGAGAGUCCGGAUGAAAGAGAACG